AACGUGUGUUCCUUCUCAGGACGUUUGAAAAAACGUUAGAGGUCUCUCCCUUUCCGUUACAUAUCCAAGACAACUCAGACAGUGACAGAGAGAGAGAGAGAGAGAGAGAGAGAGAGAGAGAGAGAGAGAGAGAGAGUGAGUGAGUGAGUGAGUUAAACAGCGACAGAGAAACUCAGACAGCGACAGAGAGAGAGAGAGAGAGAGAGAGAGAGAAAUAUAAGAGUUGAAACUGCCUGACUAUGGCCACUGGUGAACAAGCAAGUAACAAUCCACUACCAAAGCAACCACAGGUGGAGUGCAUCAUCCAUUGUUCUGAUGAUGAAGAUAAGUUGGUUUCAGUAAAAAGUGUUGACUCCUGGAAAACACUGCUCAGGGCAGCUUAGAUACGAAAUCAUGCACCGGUUUUGGAACUGGCAAAGGACAUUCCUGAAGGACAGACUCCAGCAAUUUACUACCACAGAAUGUGUCGCAGUAUCUUCACUAUGAAGAAACUCCUUGAUGGCAUCCUUGAAAAAGAAAAGCCAAGUGCCAGUAGCUGUGCUGAAAAGAAAGAAUUGAAAAGAAAAGCUCGACGUGCCCCAAGUACCUCUAGGACAUAUCCUACAGAGUGUAUCUUUUGUCAGAAAACUUGCAAAUAUCUAAAAGGACAGAAUACGAGAGAAGCACUGAUACAAUGUCGCCAAAUGUGUGCCAAUGCAAAGAUCAGGAGGGCAGCCCAAAAGAAAAUGGACGGCAGAAUCCUUGCCCUAGUGAGUAGAGACCUUGUAGCAGCUGAAGGGAACUACCACAAGUCAUGCUAUAAAAUGUACACCAAAGAGGAGGUUUCCAACAAUGAAGAUGGUGGUGAUGCUACUGAUGAUGCCCAGUAUGAAGCUGCUGUGAAACAGUCAUACAAUGAGCUGUUCCUCUUCAUCAGAACAGAGCUUUUUGGCAAUCCGCGAGUGAUGACAAUGACUGAUCUCACUUCUAGACUGGUUUCUUCAAUGAAGUCCCAAGGAAUUGUCCAAGUCAAGGAAUCAACCACAAAGCACAUAAGACGAAAGCUGGAGAGUGAGUUUUCUGGAGCCUUGCACAUCUUCUCUGAUGCAAAAGGAAAACUCCUCCUUUAUCCAGAUAACCUGUCCAUGAGUGAACUCAUCGAAAAAAAACAGUCCCUUAAAAGUGAGCUGCAGACCUUGAAAAGUGCCAGUGCCCAAGAUGUCUAUAUGUAAUGUUCCACUCAUGGAGCAUCAAGGUUGUUCAGAGCAGGGGUACAAAUGUAAAUACAAACAGGUAAACAGGUCAGAGGUCAAAACAUGAAUGGCAUUGUCCAACCUUGCUCCUCCUAAUUCUGCCUAGCAACAACAAACUGCUGCCCUCUUUCUCUUUCUGCUCUACACCCUUCCCAGGCCUAGGACAUAAAAUAAAAAACUAUGACCAAAGUCAUUGUCUGAUUCUCUGUAGGUCAAAGAUAGUAUUUCAGUAACUGAUACAGUCAACAUGGAACUGGAAGAAAAUAAGUCUGUGGGGAGUAUCAAUUCUAGAGGUUCAGCUUUGCUGUUUCUGUAGCUGCAUCACAGUUAUGUUGAGAAUGACAGCUGCACAUUUCAACAUGCAGCACAGUUUGGAUUAUGUGCAUCUGAACAGCAGCAAUUCACAGCCAACAUUUUCUCAUUCUGGAUCUUGCCAUAUGUCCUAAGAGUGAUUUGCCACUUUUAUAGUAUGAACAGUACCUGGUGUUCAGUGUGAAUAUUGUGUAAUGUCUUUGUUGUCUAUGUAAAGAUUUCCAAAUGAAAGUUGUAAACGAAAUAUUCCUUCUGUGAUAAAAUAAACAAAAGGCUUGUCAAUUAUCAGUAA